rnacentral:lncRNA from 1 species
AUGUCCUCCUUUAGUAUGAUCAUUUGCUUAUAUUUGGGAGAUUUUAAUAUUCAUGUCUGUUGUCCUGAGAGGUUCCUGGUGGCUGAUUUUUGUAAUUUAAUUGACUCUUGUGGACUGACUCAGUUGGUUGACUUCCCCACUCAUGGGGGGUCUCACAUGAGUAACAAGAUGGCGCCUGUGCUUGGCUUAGCUGCAGUCACUGGCCACUUUUUCAAACUUUUCUCCACUAACCUCCUCUUUUCCACCUUGCUCCUGUCUGCGAUCUUCUUCAGUGGUGUCCCUGCUACCAUCUCCUAUGAUCGCCAGACUCUUUUAUCUGUCCGUUCGUUCACUAUCGCCCAAGAUGCACCGAGGACGUACCUCCCUCUUUGUUUACCAGAGUGGCGCACUGGCCCGGAGCUAAACAACGAUCCCAACCUGCGCGCCUCCAGCUAUGUUUAUCCGGUCCCAGGAAAAUGUCGGAGGAAAAGAGGUAAACGAGCAGGAAUCCAGGUGAGAAUAAGACUUCUGUUAAAGCGUGGUUUAUCUAGUAAACAUCGGCGUGAUCUUCUGGCUUCUCUUCCUUUGUUUGGUGACCUGAGCGCCACUUCCUCAUUCCCGCCAGGCCGCGUUGCGGCACAGUUUCUCCGUCCAAGUUUUUUAAGGUCGGUUUAUCCUCAUUCCUCAGUGGUUUCUCCUCCUGUUCCCUCCAUAAGUGGUUUUUAUAAACACCGUGGAUCUAACCCUGCUAAUUUGCGUCCACUAACUCCAGCUGUUUCUGUAGUUUCUGAUUCCUCCACUGCACUCAGCAUGGCUCUAUUAAAUUCCCUCUCUGUUAACAAUAAGUCCUUCCUGCUCAAUGAUCUAAUUCUCUCUAAAAACCUGGAUUUUCUGUUUCUGACUGAAGUUUGGCAGCAAACAUCCGAUUAUUCUGGUCUGAUUGAACUCUGCCCGAGUAGUUAUUCUUUUCUUAGCCAGCCCCGGGGUUCUGGUCGGCCUGUUUUGACAAAUUUACACUGGUUUCCAGUUCGGUUUCAGAUUAAGUUCAAAAUUCUUCUGUUGGUUUACAAAUCUAUUCAUGAAAUGGCCUCCUCUUAUUUGGCACAUCUUUUGAGUCCCUAUGUUCCGGCGCGAACCCUGAGGUCCUCUGACUAG